CACGCCCUAAACGAUGUCAACUGGUUGUUGGGGUUUUCGAACCUUAGUAACGAAGCUAACGCGAGAAGUUGACCGCCUGGGGAGUACGGCCGCAAGGUUAAAACUCAAAGGAAUUGACGGGGGCCCGCACAAGCGGUGGAUGAUGUGGAUUAAUUCGAUGCAACGCGAAAAACCUUACCUGGUCUUGACAUGUACGGAAUCUUUUAGAGAUAGAAGAGUGCCUUCGGGAGCCGUAACACAGGUGC
rnacentral:rRNA from 1 species